UGUGAUGUUUCUGUCAGCUCACGUAGCGCCAUGGUAGCGCUAGUUACUCCCGUUCCUUGAUUGGCAAUCCGGCCAGGCUGGCGGAGUGUCAGCAGUUGUUCUUUAUUCUGUGGUCACUAUGGUGUCAGCAUAGAGCAAGUAAUUUCUUUCUCUAUGGUACAGCGAAGGGCGAGCCACAUCCGUCUCGCGUGCUCGUCUUUAUUUAGACAGGGGUUCUCGGAUGUGGUGCUACGGACAACUCGGGAGAACGCGCCGCACGCUGUUCUGUCUUGCACCGAGUUGGCGGCAGCAGCGCGUCGAAAGCAUGCCCGCCACGUGCCACCAGCUGAAGCUUCAAGUAUGGUGGAUCCUGUCUGACCGCAGAGAAAGCCACGACAGGUACCUUGACGAGUACCGAGUCUUCUUCAGCGAGCAGGCCCUGUUGCUGGACGUCGACGCAACAUUUUCGUUCAGCGAGGUAUACCACGAGCCCAGCAGGAACUUCUAUGAAGAGCCAAUCUACCAGCUGGACUGUACCAUCGAGUGGCCCGGCAUCACCUGGUUUGGCCCAUCUGCGAAGCACCUGCAGGCAAACAAUCGUGAACUUGAGCGUGAGGUAGCUGUUCUCAAGAAAGAACGCGAUGACCUCUCUGCCAUGCUAUCAAGCCAGCAAAACACUAAAAGCGCUCUACAUCGGCGGCUGCCUGCAAGUGCCGAGGACUGUGCCGCUCGGGACGCUAUGGAUGUUCCAGGAAGCAGAGGAGCUGCUCCUCCCUCUGCUCCUGCAAGGGGGAGUGUCCCGUGGCGCAGCACUCCAUAAGUAGUAAUAUACAGUUUGUUGCAAGAGCCACCGUGGUAGCAGCAAUUGCCUUAAAGGCCCCCACGCCCCCCACUGGGCCCCGCACCGGGCCCCAUUGGAAAUUUUGGAGUCCGAUUUGGCCAUUCCAGAGGACACGUUGACCGAAAGCUUGCCAGAAAAGCAGCUCUCUGUUAGAAGCAAACAGUGACAUGACACAUUUUGUACAUAUAUUAUAUAUUUAUAUGCGUCUGUACGAACGUUUCGCGAAUUGGAUGACGUAAAUUUGUGUUGGUGCUCUACAUCUUUCUUUUACCGCCUCUUUGAAGGAACACAGCUAGCGCUCUCUCGUAAUGAACUCGCUACUUUUAGUUUUGACCAUUUCAGUGUCUCCACUUAUCUUAAGUCUGUUUUAAUUUCAUAAUUAUUGUCACUUUCUAUUUCAUUCAUCACAUCGCUCUGUGUCUGACAACUCAACCCUAUGCUGUGUUUUGUGACAAACAUUCAACAGCCACCAAGACAGCAUGGCAGUGGCAUCCAGAAGGUAACUUUAAUGUACAAGUGUCAUAGUGAACUGAGAUGCACUACAGUGGUUGAAGCCUGCGCAGGAACUGUUGGCAUCUUAUGUCCCUUCCAUAAUUCAUUCAGCUGCAUGGAUUAGGUUGGAUGACCUGCAAUUAGUUCCCCGUUUUUCAAAAGAAGGCAGGAGCUGGGACAAGUAAACCAUCUAACAUUCGUCUUGUGUGCCGUGCAUGCAUGUGCGUGUGUGUGUGGAGAGUGACCAAUGUUGGCUUACGUGGAGGUACUUCGAAAACACAAGUUACACAAACCUGCCAAAAAUAUCUGUGGGCACAUUGUCCUUUUAUGUCUUGGAUGGCGUCUUCGUGGGGCUUCUUUUUUAGUGAUUAAUAUGUGGAUGUACAAAUGAAUAAAUGUGUUCAGAAAUUCAA